rnacentral:rRNA from 1 species
AAAUUGAAGAGUUUGAUCAUGGCUCAGAUUGAACGCUGGCGGCAGGCCUAACACAUGCAAGUCGAACGGUAGCACAGAGAGCUUGCUCUCGGGUGACGAGUGGCGGACGGGUGAGUAAUGUCUGGGAAACUGCCCGAUGGAGGGGGAUAACUACUGGAAACGGUAGCUAAUACCGCAUAACGUCGCAAGACCAAAGUGGGGGACCUUCGGGCCUCACACCAUCGGAUGUGCCCAGAUGGGAUUAGCUAGUAGGUGGGGUAACGGCUCACCUAGGCGACGAUCCCUAGCUGGUCUGAGAGGAUGACCAGCCACACUGGAACUGAGACACGGUCCAGACUCCUACGGGAGGCAGCAGUGGGGAAUAUUGCACAAUGGGCGCAAGCCUGAUGCAGCCAUGCCGCGUGUAUGAAGAAGGCCUUCGGGUUGUAAAGUACUUUCAGCGAGGAGGAAGGCGUUGUGGUUAAUAACCACAGCGAUUGACGUUACUCGCAGAAGAAGCACCGGCUAACUCCGUGCCAGCAGCCGCGGUAAUACGGAGGGUGCAAGCGUUAAUCGGAAUUACUGGGCGUAAAGCGCACGCAGGCGGUUUGUUAAGUCAGAUGUGAAAUCCCCGGGCUCAACCUGGGAACUGCAUUUGAAACUGGCAAGCUUGAGUCUCGUAGAGGGGGGUAGAAUUCCAGGUGUAGCGGUGAAAUGCGUAGAGAUCUGGAGGAAUACCGGUGGCGAAGGCGGCCCCCUGGACAAAGACUGACGCUCAGGUGCGAAAGCGUGGGGAGCAAACAGGAUUAGAUACCCUGGUAGUCCACGCCGUAAACGAUGUCUACUUGGAGGUUGUGCCCUUGAGGCGUGGCUUCCGGAGCUAACGCGUUAAGUAGACCGCCUGGGGAGUACGGCCGCAAGGUUAAAACUCAAAUGAAUUGACGGGGGCCCGCACAAGCGGUGGAGCAUGUGGUUUAAUUCGAUGCAACGCGAAGAACCUUACCUGGUCUUGACAUCCACGGAAGUUUUCAGAGAUGAGAAUGUGCCUUCGGGAACCGUGAGACAGGUGCUGCAUGGCUGUCGUCAGCUCGUGUUGUGAAAUGUUGGG